rnacentral:tRNA from 1 species
AAAAAGAUAAGCUAACUAAGCUUUAGGGUUCAUACCCCUCCCAUAAAGGUAAUAAUCCUUUUCUUUUUA